GAUUUUUUAAUAAAUCAAAAACUAAUAACAUCAAACUAAAACAGAGAAGCUAACCGUAUGUAUAUAGGGAGGCUAACAGCCUUGCAGACGGGUUAGCGAACUAUGCUUUUAAUCUAUCUUUAGGUAUUCAUUAGUUUGAUUUAGCUCCCUCAUUGGUGGAGGAGAUUGUAAGGGAGGAUGUCCGAGGAACUGCGUUUCCGAGGCUCACCCGCCUACCGUUUUGUAAUUUCUUUUCAGUUUCAAUAAAUUGCGGGAGACGGUUGUUUCCCCUCUACUACUAAAAAAAAAACUUUAACAGAAUUUAAUAGAAUCUUGAUUAAAUAAUAACAGAUUUUUCAUAUCAUUUAAAGUAAUUAAAACACAGUUUAAAUCACACACCACCUAAGACUUUUUUUCCAUCUUUUUCAUUAAUCAUAUUGGACAUUUUGCCUCAUUAUCCCACAUUUAGAUAUGUAUAAUAGAGGCUUUGUUCGUUGUGGUUAAC
rnacentral:sRNA from 1 species